UGGUUCCGGCAUCGAUGAAGAACGCAGCGAAAUGCGAUAAGUAAUGCGAAUUGCAGAAUUCAGUGAGUCAUCGAAUCUUUGAACGCACAUUGCGCCCCUUGGUAUUCCGAGGGGCAUGCCUGUCCGAGCGUCAUUGCACCUCUCAAGCAUCGCUUGGUGUUGGGACCCACCCCCGGCGGUGGCCCCGAAAAGCAGUGGCGGUCCGGUGAGACUUCAAGCGUACUGGAAUAACUCUUUAGUUUUCGCUCUGAACGCUCGAGCCGUGGCCCCGCCAGUUCAACCCGUACAUUUUUUCAGGUUGACCUCGGAUCAGGUAGGGAUACCCGCUGA
rnacentral:misc_RNA from 1 species